UACAGGGGGGGCAAGCGUUGUUCGGAAUUACUGGGCGUAAAGGGCUCGUAGGUGGCCAACUAAGUCAGACGUGAAAUCCCUCAGCUUAACUGGGGAACUGCGUCUGAUACUGGAUGGCUUGAGUUUGGGAGGGGGAUGCGGAAUUCCAGGUGUAGCGGUGAAAUGCGUAGAUAUCUGGAGGAACACCGGUGGCGAAGGCGGCAUCCUGGACCAACACUGACGCUGAGGAGCGAAAGCCAGGGGAGCAAACGGG
rnacentral:rRNA from 1 species